GACCACUUCAGUUUGUGACCUUCACUAUAGUCAGCAAGGUUGCUUAAACUUCAGGCUUCAUCAGUAAGUUGAAAUGACACAGGAAAACCUGAAAUGGCUCUUUAGGUCCACCAUCACAACAGCCAUGAAACCUGGACUGUUCAACCCUUUCUGUAUAUUCACUGGAAAUGGCUAAUGCACCUUCUGAACAACCCAGUGUUUAUUGCUUGCUGAAGGUUUUGUUUUACUGGAUGCUGUGAAAAUGAAGUCCAGGC